CUUUCCUCGUUUGCGUACUCGCCGAAGCGGUUUCCUUUGCGUUGCGCUCUCGGUUCAAUUUUGGGCGGAGGCGCAUCGCUUGUCAUGGCGAAGGGAGACGACGCGGUGAGGCGGAGGAAGAACAAGACCGGCCGCAAGCGGAUGCGGAACAGCGAAUCCGCCGUGCCCGCCCGCGUCGCCGCCAAGCGCCGCCGCAAGACCGGGAAUCGCCUCAUCUGCGAGAGGAUGUGCUUUAGCCGCCCGACGCCUGACGACCCCUUCAAUGAUCGCCACGGGAUGGAGACGAAGCAGAAACCCAGCAAGAGUGUGUCACCUCCUCCCCUCUCCGCCACCGAGGAGAGCAAGAAUCAAAGGUGUGAUGUUGCUGUGAGAGCGGAGCAGCGUGCCAGCGAAGGUGGUGGCGUCGGCAGCGACUGCGACUGGGACUAUGGUUGGUCUACCAAGUUCAUUAUGCUGUGCUUGAACGCCAUAGAUGGCGCGUGGAAGGAUCGACAAGCAGCGCCUGAUGGUAGCUUGGAUGUUUCUCUUUUCGCCUGCCACUGGGGUGUUGAUUUCUGGAAGUAUUGUUCUUCCGGCUCGCACAUCAUCGACACCAGUGGGUCUUGCCCUACCACAGAGCAGGUCGCUUGGUUGGUGUCUACAGCUUCUGAUAUCAUUACGAGGAAGGAGAUGCAGGGGCAUGUCGUUCCCAGUCCCUUCCUUCUUUUCCUUGUGCCAACGCGGGAGAAGGCUGCCCAGGUAAGGUCAGUGUGCAAACCACUCAAGGCCCUAGGAAUACACACAGUAAGCUUGCAUCCUGAUGCACCAUUGGAUCGCCAGGUUCAGGGUUAGAGAAGUUGCGAGCCUGAGUUUCUUGUAUCUACUCCAGAGAGGUUGCUUGAACUUGUUUCCCUCAAGGCAAUUGACAUCUCUGGCGUAUCACUAUUGGUACUUGACGGAUUCAACACCUUCCUAGAUCUUGGCUUCGUGGAUAAACUUAAUUCUGUCAGGGAAACUAUAUCUGGAAAUCCACAAGUCGUUCUCUUCAGUGAUUGCUACAGUGAAGUGUUCACGUCGUUUGCCCAAAAUAUACUUUCAGGACCAGUUACAAGACUGUCAGAGCGAUGUCGUUAGUUGUCAAAGUGCAUUCAUAUCACAACUAGUGCACUUCCAUACAACACAAGAAGAAAAAGUAGCUAAGAUCAAACAAAUUAUUACCGCAAUAUUCAGCAGUGAAGUUCCAAUACCUGAUAAGAUCCUACUUAUAUCAAGAACUGCAAAUAAGUUUCAGAUGUUGAGAUCUUCCCUCGAAGAAGGUUAUGAGAUAUCCGAAGACUCUUCAUGUGCCUUUUCUAUUAUCUCUGACAGCAGAAAGGCACUCAGAGUCUUCGCUACGGACUGUGAGAGUUUAUACGAGGAAGAUCUCGAGGAAUUUGGUACCACCAUAUUCAUGGAUCUUCCGACCUCGAUCGAAGACUAUGUACACGUUCUCACGACGAUGGCACGCCAUUCAAUUACUGGUGCCUUGCAUAGUUUCUUCUGUAAAGGAGAUGCCGCUCUUGCUCAACCCUUAGUCGAGGUACUCAUGCAGUGUGGUCAGAUGUUGCCUGAGAUCCUUCAAAAUAUAUGAUUAUUCGGGUUAAAGAUUUAUUUUCCUCUAUGAACAGAUACUACCAACGGUUAUCGAUUUCAUUCUCAUUCUUUACUUGCUCUGUUUUUUAUAUCUUCGCUCAUGUUAAUAGUGGAACACAUUAAGUAGUCACGCCCUUGUGACCAUUGAUGGAUGUGUAAGACUCUGUUAUUCUGUUUUAUAUUUUUUUAGUGGAUGCUUUUUGUGUUGGCAAAACCAAAUUACAUAAAACUUGUAGUGCGUUUUUUUCCCCCAAACAACUGAUUGAUAUAUUCUCAAGAAGUUUGAUAUGAUGUCAAAUUGGCAUGCAAUUUUUGUUAGAAUUUCCCUUGCAAUUCUCUUUCUGGAAUACCAAAUAUGCUUGUUAGAAAUAAGUUAAAUUCCAUUAGAACAUCGUGUAUGAUUUUGCUUCUCUGUAUAUGGUCACUACAGCUAACACUUGUAGUCACCGGCUGGAUUGCAUCAGCAUACUCGAAUAAAUGAUUAUGAUUACAGUCAAAUGUUAUUGUGUGUUUGUGACCCAUUCAUUCCUUGUCGGCU